GAAACUUCCAAGUUUUUAACCAAUAUCAACUGGAAGUUAAAAGAGAGAAAGAUGAGAGUGGAAGUGGGUGGUCUUGAUUAAGAAGUAUGUUUAAGGCUUUCUAGAAAAUCUUCUCAAACAUCUAGGUGAUUCAUAUACUUCAGGCAAAGACUUUAAUUCAUCUUAGGUUAACUUAGAAGAUGAUUGUUAAUAUUAGAAUGAAGAGCAGGAUCAAACAGUGAACAAAUGCAAAAUGUUUGCCAAAGAAAUUCUAACCGUAAGAAUGCAGUUAUGACAGAGAGCUCCCUACUGCCUUUUAGUCUUCAUUAUCGCCAUACCUUAAUGCUAAACAUGUGAUUUACCGCUCAGAGUUCUAACUCUAAGAAUGAAGGGCAAAUUCCUGAAUGCAAUCAGUGAACCAUUAGAAACAGCAGGGGAUAAGGAGAACUGAAGACAGGAAGGACAUACUGUAGCUUUGAUAAAGGCAGAGGAAAAAAAGAUGAAAACAGAGAAAGUGAAUACUGGGGAGCAGGAAUUCUUCUCCUAUCACCCAGAUGUCAUUUUGUUUCCACUGAAGACUUCCUCAGAAAGGACUGCACUCACCCCUAAAUCAGAGGUGACAACCGGGUACCACCAAACUGCAUCGGUUUGGGGAAAAGGAGGCUAGUCAGGGGAGUGCAACAUCAUUCCUUCCAGACUCUUACUACGCUCCAUGUAGAGGUUUCUUCCCAACGGGGAGUUUUUCCUCUCCGCUGUCGCUCCAUGCUUGUCAUCAUGGACAGGUUCUCUCAACCAGUGUUAUCCAACUGGACUUCCAUCUCCCAGGUCCCUGA